GAGUAUAUUUGAACCUCUGAAACUUAAAUUUUAACCUAGCUCAGUGCUUGUAGCUGAUUGGGUGUUCUUGAGCAAGUUGCCACCCAAGGUGCUUCAGGUAUGGAAGAAAAGUCCUUCUAGAACAGACUAAGAGCCUUUCCAGUCCAGUAACCUGUUUACUACAGAGGCCGACCAACUACCUAUGGGAAGCCCAUAAGCAGGACAUGAGGGCAAUAGAAGGGCUGUGCUGCUAACCUGGCUUCCCAACACCAUGCAUUGCUGCUAAUUACUGAGAGAGAGAGGGGAAGUGGCAAGGCAGUAGGGACCUCAGUGCUGGUACAGUGCUGUUGUAUUGGCUCUGCCACUGCCUUGUCCCUCCUUCUCUAGGUAACUGACAGCAUGGUGUUGGGAAGCCAGGUCAGCAACAUAGCCCCACAAGCUGCUACUGGGACCAUCUAACACUCACAAUGUAAGCUUUUCACUUACCAAUAAAUGAAACCUUGACUGAAGGUGGAUAUUCAAAUAUUUUGACUAGACAUGCAUACAUACACAGAUGCAAAAGAAGAUAAUUUUGUGUGCUGGAAUGAUGCUAACCUUUGCUUAUCUAGGCCCACAGUUCACUCUUAAGAGGAAAUUGGGGGACGUUUUGUAGAUUUAAUUUAAAAAGUUAAGAAUUAGUGGCUUUCCUUGUGGCAGAUUACUUUAAUGGACGACAAACCUCCUUGUUAAAAUAAGUGACUUAAGUAUACAGCAUGGCAACAAAAUUUUAUUGACUUAAAUGAUGCCCAGAACUCGGUUGACCUGAUGGUUCAUGCCUUCUCUGUCUAAGUUUGGGUAUUUUAAAUAACUUCUAUGUAUCCAGUACAUGAACACAAAUAUUGUUCCAUAGCAAAAGUUGGAUUGUGCAGCAUAAUACAGUAUCUGGAAUCCAUUUUAAACAUGUUCAUACAGGAUGAUAUCACAAGCAUCUUAAAAUGUUCAACAUAUGGUAAACGUUUUCUACAUUCCUCACCCAGGGUGCAUGAAACUUUACAGCAUCUUGAUAAUUUCAGUAAAGGAACUAAAGAAAGAUUUAAAACCAUGAUUAAGAAAGCCCCCAAAAUGAGUAUCCAUUAACUUUGGACUUAUUUUCCCCUAAGAUCAUUAAAGACACGCACUGAAGAUACAGUAAACGUUUUUAUAGCUAAAAUGUUUUGAAGAUAGCACUUUACCGGUGCAGAAAUGUAGACAAAGCACCCACAAUUAGUCAUUAUGAUGACAAUCCUCUUUCAGCAAACACUUGCAUGUUGCACAAACAUCGAAAAAUUGGCAUACAAACUAAGUGAACAGAUGCAACUACUAAAGUAGCUACUCAAGCUUUUCCUAGUACUCUGUCAUGUUGAGCAAAGACCUUUUUUGUGAAUCGGAGUGCUGCCUCCUCCAUGUGAGAUGUAAGCAUUUCCAAGCCCUUCUGUACAUGUUGAGAAGCCAUUCAUCUUCCCUUUCUUAACACUUUGGCGCUAUGAGCAGUUCAUCUGAUUUCAUUUUCAACUUUGACACCACUUACUAUAAUUUAGAUUCCUCUGGGAAACCAACUCAUGUAUAAAUGGAUUCACACAUGCACACACACCACCUGAAAAACAGUCCAGGUGUUUCUUGUAUCAAGAUUUUGUUAUACUGUGAUUCAAACCUCCCAGGUAAAGCCGUUUUCACUCAUCAGAUUUCAUUUGGCAAUGUAUUCCAAACACCACGUCACUUCUGCUUUUUCUGAUCUGAAAAGUAACGUUGUCAUUCAUUGACAAGAUGUGUCAUUGGUUUUAAAUUUGUGAGACAAGAGUUAACCUUCAUUUCAGGAAAGUGUGUUAAACAGAGUACAAAUGCUUUCUUCUGCUGCCCAUCUCAAAUCAUCCCAUGGCACACAGUGGACCAUUGUUAGUGUGAGAAGUCAAGAUUCCUUUGGACAACUCCCUUCUCACCUUGGGAACAAAAAGUGAUGACUUACAUGACAAGAGAAGACUUAUGGUCCUUGAAAUAAAUGAUGAGAUAUGCCCUUUGGACUAAUCUUUCUUCAGGAGGACACUAAGUUAAACCACAUGUAGUGUUUUGUCUGACAGUUAUAAAGUAAUACAUUGUAAUCAUUAUCAACUGAUAUGCAACUAAAAAUAAAUCCACCCUGUUCAGUUCUUUGGAUGGUCAUUACUACAUUUUUGCCUAGGCUAUAAGCAAAAAUCACAAAUUCAAGUUCUCUAGGUGACCAGUUCUCACAUUUCAAAUAAGAUUUGAUAUACAAUAACCUUAAAGUGAUUACCUUAACAUAUAUAUAUAUAAAGUGUGGAAGAAUGCCCUUGGUUUCCUUCAUCCAUGUGUGAUAUACUUUUGCUUUCUUGCUUUUUCAGGUUUUCAUGUUGUUUUACCAUCCCAUUGGAAACAAUGGGACUUUAAAAUGUAAUAGAUAUAUUUGUAAUAGCAAUUCCUGCCCCCAACUGAAGUAAAUUAAAACUUCAUUAUUUUAACACACUAGAACAGGGGUCUGCAACCCGCGGCUCCGGAGCCGCAUGUGGCUCUUUUACACCUUUGCCGCAGCUCCGGAGCGGAUACUAGUGAGGGGAGGAGGCGCAUUGUGCGCCCCGACACUCCCCACUGUGGCGGGCGCUGUACUGGCUGUGACGUCGCAUGGUGACGGUGCGUGCGUUAGUCACGCACCGUCCCGACGUCACCUUCCCGCCCGCCCGCUACAUUGUAAGGGGCAUGUACGCUGGUCACUGUUUUGAAGGGGAGUGAAGAACACAUACACAAAAAAAGGUAACUUGUUAAUUUAACAUUUAUUUCUAUGAGGAGGAGUAAUUCUGAGGGGUCAAACAAAGAAAUAAUAAAAAAGUGACAAAAAAGUUAUUUUUAUAAUGACGAGUUUUGCGGCUCCCAGUUUUUUUUUCUUCGGAAACGGGUCCAAGUGGCUCUUUUUGUCUUAAAGGUUGCAGACCCCUGCACUAGAACAUGUCAAAUCCUGUUGGAAAACUCCAUGUGGUAUGCUAAGAUGGAAGCAUGAUUAUCAUGCUGAAUUAAUAGUUUAAACAAAUAUUAUUUGUCGACAAAUAAAAAAAAUACAAAAGACAUGAAGUUUAACCUUAAGUAAUAAUACAAGUAAUGAUGUAAAGUUGUCUGAGACACCCAUAUGGGCUAUGAAAGAGCCGAGGAAAAUAUUACUGCAAAAUGUGACAAGAAGCAACUAAAUGACUUUGCAGUACCUACUAUUCCAAGGUUCUGUGCCAGAAAAUAAAGGAAACAGGUAAUUUAAUACAAAGAACAAAUCUGGGGAUAAACCAACCAAAACAAAAUUUAUUUCUAUAGUAGCAUUCACAUUGUGAGAUCAGGAAAAGGGUUUAAAAGGUAUUGUAAAGAAGUCAGCCAACCUCUACAAGGCAUCCAGCAUAGCAGACAACUCUGAUACUUAAUAUAUUUUUUUCCAAACAAAAACUUCUCUUAAGGAUAUAAAAUGGGUUUGCCUACCUCAUCUGUUUAGGAAAAGUAUCACUGUGUUUCCUGAAAACCAAUAAUUUGGUCAUGAUGUCAAGAAAGCUUGAGGAAACACAAGCAUUUUCAAGUGAAAUGAGGUAGAAUAGCGGGUGGGGGGAGAGGUGGCUUGCUUCUAAUGUUUCAAGGACCAAUGAAGCUCUAUGGCAGAGCACAUGAUUUGCAGGUUCAUUUCCUGGCAUCUUCUGUUUAAAGUUCUCAAAUAGCAUGGCUCUAAAAGACCUCUGUCCAAGACUCUGGAAAACUGCUCUCUGUCAUUGUUGACGGUAGUGGGCUAUACGUACUAUUUGUUUUAUUCAAACUAAGACGCUUCUUUUUAUCCUAGUGUGGCAUAGAUGGAAGGAACAAAUUUAAAAGUACCAACAGCAGGGAAACAUUUGCAAUAGGUAUUUCUUACUAAGACCCAAAGUGUAAAAUGUUUUGUGCCUGGAUAUUAUCUACAGGUGGAUGCUUGUGGAAUCCCAACAGACUACCAACCACAGCAAAGAAAAGCAGUGCCCCUACACCACUUCUAGGGCUUAUCUUUCAGGAAUGAACAAAGUCAUGCUAAUAUUGUGCGCUCAAUUCACAUUCAUUCAAGGCAGUCCAAAGUGACACCAUGACUGACAGAGGGGCCAGAAAACCAACCUAUCCAUAUGAUGUCAGGCAUGGGAAAAUUCAAGUUAUGGCUAAGAUCAGAGAUAAGCUUCUGCUUGCUCUUUAAAAGGCAGCAGAUAGAUUACUUCCAAUCCCGGUGAUUUGAAAUAACGCGUCAUCUGAAAGAUGGGGUGAGGGCAGAGAAAGAGAGAGGAAGGAUGAGGAAAGACUGCAGUUCAGUGGUUCAGUAUACAUUCAUAGGCAGAAGUUCCAAGGUUCAAUCCCUGGUAUUUCCAGACUGGGCUGGGAAAGACUUCUGUCUGGCCAGGAGAGCUGCUGCCAGUGUCACUCGUAGUUAAUCAGAUGGAUCGAUGGUCUGAUUCAGUUUAAGGUAGCUUCCUAUGUUUGCUCUGCCUUUCCUAUAUGGCAUCCUGAGUCAUAACCAACUAGAUAUCUGGUUACUACUCUAUGAAUUGCCCCAUUCUUGUGGAAGACUCCUUUCCCACCAAUCUGCAGCAACCUCUGCUCCCUAUAGACAUUAAUUAUAAGGUAAAUGGUGGGAAACAAAAGGAUAAGAGGUUUCUGCUCAAGAGCUGGCAGUACCAAGUAACUGGGUACGAAAAGGAGGACAGAUUGUAAAUUCUAAUGUGAAGAGCACAGCCUCAGAUGCUACAGGAAGUGAGUAUACCUCCAGUAUACCUUACAUCAGUUUUCAAAGCUUGCCUACUUCUACACCAACAGAUGAUGGUCUACAAAAGAUAGCAUUUGCCUAUUUUGUAUCUAUUGAGUUCAUUAAUAUAUUAAUCGUAUGCUUCAGUGUGAGUGGCAUUUAUUCCUAGUCUUUUUGACAGAGUUUGCCCCACCAAAAGAACUCAGACACGUUUGUGAAAUAUUCAGUAACCUUCACAUGGUAAACAAAGUAUGUACUCUUUUUUAAAAAUAUAUUUUUAUUAGUUUUUAUAUAUAUUUUCCAAACAAAACAUAACAUCUCCUCUCAUCUUAUACAACAUUUUGGCUAUAAGCCUAGGACUUCCAUCAACCACAUCUAAUGAUUUUCAACCUUCAUCACGUAGCCUUGCAUUUCAUUAUUUUCACUAUUACUUUUAAUAGUCCAUAACUUAAAAUCCAUUCUCAUAAAUUUCCCCUGCAAUAUUUCAUAUAGUUCUCCCUACAAAACUUCUUGUAAUCCUACAAGCGUAGUCAAUUGAUUACAAUUGUUUUUCAAAUAGUUUGCAUAUUUACUCCAAUCUUUCAAGAAUUUCUGGUCCUGCCAGUUUCGAAUUCUCACUGUCAUCUUAUCCAGUUUUUCCUGCUUCCAUUUCUGUGCCAGUAAUACUCUUGCUGCCGUUUUCGCAUAUAAAAACAAUUUAUCUUGUCUAACAAAGGAUGUAUUCAUAUCAGAGAUGUAUCAGAACAUCAUAUGCAGAAGGUGCCUGGAUAUAUGCCAUAUUGAUUAUAAGAUAGGAUUUAUUACCUUGGUGGUGGUGGGGAGAACAUAAAAGUAAGGUGUUGUCAGUCAGAUGGAUGAGUUUAAUCCCAUUGGUACCUGAUUAGCACCGUGAACAUGUGCUCCGAAAAUGAAACACUUGCAAGCCGCAACAGGUGAGCCCUUGAUUUUUAUCUCUGUAAUUUCUUUUUUAAAAAAAUAAUAUUUAUUACUUUUAUAGAUUAC
rnacentral:lncRNA from 1 species